AGGUUUGCCUCCCCCUGUGCCCACCCCCAGCCCGGGGCUCGCUCCGUGGGAGCGCACCGAGGGCGCGCGCUCGCCUCGGGUCCCGCCGGCGCUGCCCCAACGGCGAUACGYGACCGCUCGCCUCGGCCUCGAAACAAACCCCCCCCCGAGCCGGGACUCGAACUCGCACCUACCCAGGAGGAAGCACAUCCGUUACCGCUUCAGGUCAGCAGCACUCCUGGAAAGGGGAGGGAGAAAAGGGGGCGGAUUUGGCUGCCGGCACACGCGUGGGAAGGGGGGAAGCCGUGCCGCCAGCCUGGCUCAGCUCGGCUCGGCKCAGCUCGGCUCGCCGCGGCGCAGCCAUUUCGGAGCAGGCCGUGGGCACCUGCGGUCCCGCUUGCCUCUCCGCAGCCCCCGUCACCUUCUUCCUCUUUUGUGUCGCGCCGGGGGCCUUGGCGGGCCGUGAAGACGGCUGCGGCCGACCCGUCCCGCUCCCUGCUGCGCCGCUCCACCCCGCUCCCCGUUUUAACGCAGAAUAUUUUCAUACAUCCGCUGGGAUGGGCGCAGGGCAGAGCACCCUGCCCCGGCAGGGUGGGACCCGUCGAGCUCGGGGCGAAGCCAGGCCGAGACGGUCCAGCUGCCGCGAGGGGAGGGGAAGUUUUGCACCGUUGCCUCUUGCCGCUGAUGGAAGGAGGCCCGUUACGCUCCGGCAGCGCGGGCGCCCGCGUUUCGGCAUCCCGCUUUCCUCGCGGCCUUGCCUCCUCUCUGCCCYGCGAGGUGGUUGUUGAAGGCGGCCGGGCUCCGCGCGGCGCCUCGUGCUGCCGGCGGCUCGCGAAGCCGUUUCGGGGCUCCGGAGCGGCUCCGGGCGCCGAGAAGAGGGUGCUCGGCGCCGCUUCCUGCGUGGGGCCCGGCUGGCGGCGGCGGCGUUGCCUAACAGGAAACCUGCUCGGCCCAGAUGAUGCUGCAAGAAGAGCUUCGACUGCGUCGGCUUCGACCCCUCCGGCAGGGCCCUGGGCCCCGGGGUUGAGAUUUUUGAGGCCGCGCUCCGGGUCCUYGCUCGCAGCAGGGAAGCGGCGGCUGGAGGAGCCGCGUUCGCCGCUCGGCCUUGCRUCUCUCCAGGUCUCGGUCCCCCGCGAGGCUCGUGCGGGACUCGGGGAUGGGGAAGGGUCGCCCGACCCCRUUAGCGCCUCUCCCCGGGCCGCCGCACGCCGCGGCCGGUUCACGGGACCGUUGGUUCGGUUGAGGCAGGCG
rnacentral:lncRNA from 1 species